AAUUCAUUGUUAAUUAUAACAAUUUGAUUAUUAUUAACUCAUUUCAAGUUUACAAUAAUUUUUAAAAAAAUUGAAAAAAUAAGUUAAAGUCCAAGCCCAGCCCAGCCCAGCCCAGGCCCAACCCUUUCACUUUUACUUUAAUGGGCUUGGGCUUAAAAAAACCAAUCUAAACCCUUAAAUUGUCAACCCUAGGAGUAUAAAAUCAAACCAUACCAUAUUAAGAAUUUGAUGAUUACCCCAUUUUCCACCUUAUUCCUAAAAAAUUAUUAAAAAAUCAUUCCAUUUGGGGUGGAGCCCCAUGGGACCCCAAACCAUGGAGGAUUUUGCCAUCUCUAUUAAGGGACAACUCUGAUUUUGAAAGAAAAAAACUACUUAUAGUCUGAAGGUUCAAGCUCCCUCAAACGAACCUGAUAAAUUUAAUUAGUUACUUUCCUUCCUAGUCACGCAUUAAAUAGAACUAAGAAAGUUAGUACAAACUCGUAUAUACCAGUUUUGUACGAUCAUCACUUUCAGUUAUUGUUUUUCGUUAAGCUUUGUUGUUGUUCUUCUGGUUUUUUUUUUUCUCUUCAUUUCAUUUAAUGAAGAGCUCUUCUAAAGCAUAUUUUAUAGUGUAAGACUCGCUAUUUCCUCUAAUUUGUUUGAAAAUUCCAUUUUUUCUUUUCGUGAAAUAACUAUGCUCUGUAUUGUUGGUAUUUCAAUAGGAGCCGCGGUUCAAAAAACUAACAUUCAAUUGAUAUACUUACAUUUAUGAGUAGUGUUGUUGUAAAUUUCAUAACAAUGUAUAGAUAUUUACAAUAAGAAGGCUUUGGAUUCAACUCUUUUAAGUAAUGCCAUGCACAUACUUCCAUAAUCAAUUAUUAUAACAUCAGCAUCAUUAUGACAUUAUCUUAUCAAAAUGAUUAAUCUUCAACCCCACCAAGCGUCUGAUCACUACUAGCACAAUUGCCACCAUAUACCACUAGGGCCUGCUCGCCAUCACAAAACCCACCAACAAAUGCGCACUAUCCUUGCCGUAUAAAGUAUACACACUCCGAGCUUUUCGGUUUGUACUCUGUAGUCAAUUUGGGCUUAGAGCAAGCCUAGUAAAUACUCCUGUUAACAAACCAAACAAAGGAAAGGAUUUUGUCAGUUUCCAAUUUAAAGGAAUGUUGUUGAUGACUACAUAUUCUUUUUUUCUGGUUUUCGAGAAAUUUACAAGCAUUUGAAUCAUAUUAGAUUUUUUUUUAAAAUUAUUAACUGAGGCCUAAAAUCGAAGAUAUGGGUUCUAAGAAUACUAUUUGGUGUAGACCUUAGCUUCAACCAAAUAUUAGAUAAUUAGCUCAUUUAAAAUAUGAACUCGAUUUCAUACUAUGGUGGUUAUGGUAUUUGUGAUUUGGCUUGGCUAUGGUGGCUGGUGAGUGGCAUUUGGUUAUGAAUUGGUGGGUGCCGGUGGUGUUUUUGGGAUGAGAAAAGGAAAGAGCCGAAGUUGGAUGCUAAUUUUAGGUUUUUUAUUAUGUAUUUGAUUUUUACAAGGGUGGGUAUAUUUGCACGCCAAAUAUUUCUUUGAACGUUCUAUUACUUUGCAUACUCAUCCACUAAUUAUAAAAAAUCAAGUUUUACUUCAUAUAUUCUUAAAAAUUUCAAAAAUAUCCUUACUUAAACUAUAGAAGUUACUUAACUUUUUUUUUUACUUAAAAC
rnacentral:lncRNA from 1 species